rnacentral:rRNA from 1 species
AUGCACGCUGGCGGCGUGCCUAAUACAUGCAAGUCGAGCGAACAGACGAGGAGCUUGCUCCUCUGACGUUAGCGGCGGACGGGUGAGUAACACGUGGAUAACCUACCUAUAAGACUGGGAUAACUUCGGGAAACCGGAGCUAAUACCGGAUAAUAUAUUGAACCGCAUGGUUCAAUAGUGAAAGACGGUUUUGCUGUCACUUAUAGCUGGAUCCGCGCCGCAUUAGCUAGUUGGUAAGGUAACGGCUUACCAAGGCGACGAUGCGUAGCCGACCUGAGAGGGUGAUCGGCCACACUGGAACUGAGACACGGUCCAGACUCCUACGGGAGGCAGCAGUAGGGAAUCUUCCGCAAUGGGCGAAAGCCUGACGGAGCAACGCCGCGUGAGUGAUGAAGGUCUUCGGAUCGUAAAACUCUGUUAUUAGGGAAGAACAAAUGUGUAAGUAACUAUGCACGUCUUGACGGUACCUAAUCAGAAAGCCACGGCUAACUACGUG